rnacentral:tRNA from 1 species
GGAGAGGUGGGUGAGCGGCUUAAACCAGCGGUUUGCUAAACCGCCGUACGCUGUUAAGGUGUACCGAGGGUUCAAAUCCCUCCCUCUCCG